rnacentral:lncRNA from 10 species
CUAGUGAUAUUUUAAUAAUGUUUAAUCUGGAAAGUCAAAUGUCACUCAAAGGAGCCAAGCCCCUUUGUCAAAUCAGGAGCUCCAUCAGCCAAUCAGGAACCCAGAUGCCAGCGUGGGAGUUUGUCAGUGGAAAUAACAUUGCAUGACUUCCAAGUCUGGUUUCUUCAUUUGCAAGAUAUCAACCCAAUAGGAUUGUGACUGAAAUCAAAUGAGGCACCCAAGUCUAAUAUGAGAAAAACAUGAGAAAAAUUCCAGGAGGGGGACAUUCUACAAAAUACCUGACCAGUACAUCUCAAAAUUGUCACGAUCAUCAACAAGGAAAGAUUGAGAUACUGUCAUAGCCAAGAGACGCCAAAGGAAAAAUGACAACUAAAUGUAAUGUGGUAUCCUGGAUAAGAUCCUGGAAUGGAAUAGAAAAUGGGCAUUGGGUAGAAACUGAAUAAAGUAGAGACUUUAGUUAAUAACAGUAUGUUGAUGUUGGUUUAAUAAUUGUAACAAAGGUACCAUAUUAAUGUAAGAUGUUAACAAUCAGAGUAACUGGAUUCAGGGUAUAUGGAAACUUUCCAUUCUAUUUUCUUAAUUUUUCUAUGAAUCUAAAACCAAAAACUAAAGUCUACUUAAAAAAAAAAUCACAGGAGGCAACAUACAUAAAAGCAUAUAGUUGGUGCUCCAUAAUGUAACCUCUUCUUUUCUGGGCAGUGUGGAAAAACAAACUGUUGUUCAUGUCUUCUGGGAUCUUUUGCCCCUUUCUAAUCCAACCAGAAAGGUUCUGGGGAGAAUGUAAGUCAUCUCUAUAUUCUCAUCUGCAGGUAGCCAGGGGUGAGAAUAGCUACAUUUACUUAAGUUUAGUCUGUGGAGUAGUUUCUGCUACAGAAUGAUUCUUGUUAGACCCUGUAAGAGUUCUUUUGGCUCAGGUCCCCAGAAAAUAAAUUUACAAACCCUUAAAUCAGUUCAACGUAUCAGGAACGGCCAUAUAAAUCCAUUCUCGUUGUUUGCAAGAAACUAUUGUACGUUAAAAUAUUUAAGAUUAGGAACGAGACCUAUAUAAAAAUGUUUCUAAGAAAACUUUUUCCUAAACAUAAUAUAUAAGCUAUUUAGACUGCUUCACGUGCCCAGGAUAGAGUUACCCUUUUUU